UGUGAAGAAGGCCUUCGGGUUGUAAAGCACUUUUGUCCGGGAAGAAAACCUUGGCCCUAAUACGGUGGGGGGAUGACGGUACCGGAAGAAUAAGCACCGGCUAACUACGUGC
rnacentral:rRNA from 1 species